UGGGGAAUCUUGGACAAUGGGGGCAACCCUGAUCCAGCCAUGCCGCGUGAGUGAAGAAGGCCUUAGGGUCGUAAAGCUCUUUCGCCUGUGAAGAUAAUGACGGUAGCAGGUAAAGAAACCCCGGCUAACUCCGUGCCAGCAGCCGCGGUAAUACGGAGGGGGUUAGCGUUGUUCGGAAUUACUGGGCGUAAAGCGCGCGUAGGCGGACCAGAAAGUUGGGGGUGAAAUCCCGGGGCUCAACCCCGGAACUGCCUCCAAAACUCCUGGUCUUGAGUUCGAGAGAGGUGAGUGGAAUUCCGAGUGUAGAGGUGAAAUUCGUAGAUAUUCGGAGGAACACCAGUGGCGAAGGCGGCUCACUGGCUCGAUACUGACGCUGAGGUGCGAA
rnacentral:rRNA from 1 species